UGGGGAAUUUUGGACAAUGGGCGCAAGCCUGAUCCAGCCAUGCCGCGUGAGUGAAGAAGGCCUUCGGGUUGUAAAGCUCUUUCAGACGGAAAGAAAUCGCGCGCUCUAACAUAGCGCGUGGAUGACGGUACCGUAAGAAGAAGCACCGGCUAACUACGUGCCAGCAGCCGCGGUAAUACGUAGGGUGCGAGCGUUAAUCGGAAUUACUGGGCGUAAAGCGUGCGCAGGCGGUGAUGUAAGACAGAUGUGAAAUCCCCGGGCUCAACCUGGGAACUGCGUUUGUGACUGCAUCACUCGAGUACGGCAGAGGGAGGUGGAAUUCCACGUGUAGCAGUGAAAUGCGUAGAGAUGUGGAGGAACACCGAUGGCGAAGGCAGCCUCCUGGGCCAGUACUGACGCU
rnacentral:rRNA from 1 species